ensembl:lncRNA
AUGUUCCGCUUUUUCACACAAAAACUAGACAACUACAUCUGCUCCAAAUGCAAACAGAUGACUCUGAUGGAGCAGAGGAUCCAACAGCUCGAGCACCGUAUUAAGACCCUUAAGGACAUUCAGGCACUCGAGCUCUUCUUGGACACUGCACAACACGCUGCUGUAGAUCAGCAGCCUGCAUCACACCAACACCACCAAGACCAUGAUCAGGAACCUUAUGGGGAGAUCAACUCAAAGGUAGACAACCCUCAGGCUUGGAAGGAGGUCACCCAUAGAAGGAGACGCAGGACCAGGCAGCCUCCGCAGAACUCCUCUGCUCAGCUGCAUUUACACAACAGAUUUGAAAUUCUUACAUCAUUAACAUACAAUCAGGAAACACAUCUUGUGGAGGACCACAGUUUCUUAGAUACCACUCAGUGGACCAUCCUGGAUCAAUGCGCAGGGGAUAGCCCUGACGGGGACAGUGCAUCACCACAGUCACACUUAUGUAAUCAUGCAAAUGCUCCAUCCCCAAUCAUAGACCAGGAGCAACAGGAACAUCCUUGGGAGAGUAAUGGGCUCUCGGAUGUAUCUCAAUGGAUUGUCAUUGAUGAAUGCACUGGGGAUGUUGAGGAGGAGGACAACACUUUACACCUACAUGAUUCACUUCAACAGGAACACUCUUCAGGGGACAUACACACUGUCUUGCACAAAAGGGACCCUGUCAAUCCUCAAAGGAAACAGGGUCCCUUUUGUGCAAGACAGUGUGUAUGUCCCCUGAAGAGUGUUCCUGUUGAAGUGAAUCAUGUAGGUGUAAAGUGUUGUCCUCCUCCUCAACAUCCCCAGUGCAUUCAUCAAUGACAAUCCAUUGAGAUACAUCCGAGAGCCCAUUACUCUCCCAAGGAUGUUCCUGUUGCUCCUGGUCUAUGAUUGGGGAUGGAGCAUUUGCAUGAUUACAUAAGUGUGACUGUGGUGAUGCACUGUCCCCGUCAGGGCUAUCCCCUGUGCAUUGAUCCAGGGUGGUCCACUGAGUGGUAUCUAAGAAACUGUGGUCCUCCACAAGAUGUGUUUCCUGAUUGUAUGUUAAUGAUGCCAUUUGUCAUUUGUCAUUUGUAAUUGCCCUGCCAUUGCCACAGAUGUCAAAACUUUCUCACGUGUUGACAGGAUAUAACGUUUCCAUAUCCAUUUUCAAGUUAUCUACAACAUUCACCACUUUGCUCUGCCAAUGUUGCUUUCAUAAACUAACCUGAAUGAUGAUCAAGUAGAACCAUUUUUCAUUUGAUGGGUUUCAUUUUGGAAAGGUCUGCCUUCAAGAGUUCUUGGUUCAAGUUGAGAAAUAGACACACUAAGAGUGUUAUAAUACAGAUGUCAGCAACUCCAGCUGUUGUCACACUAGAGGGUUAUUCGCUGACAAGAUAACAAUGGCUUUUAUUACUAAAAUAUGAUACUUCAAACAGAAGAAGAAGUGCUGAGCAGCACUGCCUAGUUUUCUGCAGAGCAAUAUGGGAAGUGUCAGGCAGGCCUCUACCUUGUCCCUCCAAAUCCACAGAUUCAACCAUUCACAGCUUGAAAAUAUGUUUUAAAUUCCAAAAAGGAAGGCUUGAUUUUUACAUUCUACUGUGCCAUAUAUAUAUGUGACCUGAACAUCCAUAUUUUGGUAUCCAUGGGGGAUAGUGGUCCCGGAAGCAAACCUCAAAUGAUCCAAAGGUUUCUGAGUAAGGUUGCCUCAAGAUUCAUGAGAGGAGAGGGUCUCACAAGAUCUCAGAUAUCCAGAUCUCACACAAAUCCCCAAACCUAUGAAAAUCGUCUGAUAGGAUGCCAGUGAUCAUGAGAUAAAAACUUUACUCUGCUGCUUGGUGUAAGCCCUGUCAGGCAGAGAAGAAAACAGCAAUGCCAUAUCAGCUGCAAUGCUAGCAAAGAGCAACCUAGCAUUUGGUAUGUAAGAUCUGACUGAUGCAUACAUCCAAAUGCUCAGAGGUUAGUCUGUACCAGUAUGCUGGCAGUAAAAUGGCAUCAGGGUGGGCUUCUCUUCUCUCUCACUAUUCCCAAGUUGGCUUUUCUUUCUUAUAUGUUAUAUUUACAUUUGCCUUUUUAUUUAAAAUAAAAGAACCACAAUAGUGCAUCUAUUGUGGGGAUAUGAGAGUGGGCAGACGUACAAUUGUGGUAUCCUGGAAUGGUGCAUCAACAUUGUUGCGCAGAUGAAGAGAGAGGUGAAAUAUCAAAGGUGCUGAACCCAGUAUUAAUCCACUAUCUAUGUUAACACAGCUGUAGCAGAAUAGCAGGUUGGUGUGAUAAAGUCCUAAGACAGUUGUACAUACUGGAAGUCAGAUCCAAAUUAAUGCUUUAGUCAGGUUCUCACAGCCUAGGAUGGAUAUUUUCUGACAGUUUUGGUUUUUCCUCAUGUAAUCACAUUUAAUUUUCCAUCUCAUGUUCUCUAAAGCCCUAGGUGGCUCAGGUCCAGACUAUUUGGCUGACCGCAUCUCCUUGUGCCUGGGCCCAGAGGUCUUCAGGAGAGGCCCUUCUUUAAGUCCUUCCUCCAUCUCAAGCUCGGUUGGUGGGAAUGAGAGUGCGGGCCUUCCUUCUCAGUGGAUGUCCUGGGACUCUAAAACAUCCUUCUUCCCAGAGGAGCCAGACUGACCCCCUGCCUGCUGUCCUUUCGGCAACAGGCUAAAACCCUUUUAUUCAAGCAGGCUUUCAAAGAAGGUUUUUUUUUUUAAAGAGCAAGUCAGGGGUCACUGUGGUUUUUAGUUUUGAAUAUGUUUUUAUGGAUGUUAAUUGGUUUUUUAAUACCAAUGAUACUUAAUUCUGUUUUAAUCUUUGUAUAUUUGUAUAUUUUAAACUGUAUUGAAAUGAAGAUAAAAAGUGAGGUAUAAAUAAUAUUAUUAUUAAUAAUAAUAAUAAUCAUAAUAAUAUAGAUAUUGAGAAAUUUGCAAAUAUGUGCUAAAUUCUUCCUAUAUUGGAAGUGAAACAAAAUACUCAUCCACCCCAAGCUGAAGUAUGAUCUAGUGAAUAGUUUCAGGAUAGUUCUCCUAAGAACAUGGAGGAAGUUCCCUUUCAUUCCUACCGGCCCUAUACUCUUCUUUAGAUUUAAACAUUAUGUCUUUUUAAUAGAAAAAAUCUACAGUACUUUCCCCUACUAAAUUAUAGCUUGCAUAGUUGUUGCCAAGAAUAUCAUCAUACAUCUAAAAUAAUCAUAUGCAUGAUGGUGUCAGGCAAUUGUAUAAUUCCCCACCCCAGCUUUAAAUAUUUUGGGCCAAUGAUGAAUCAUGAGCAAGGCAUCUUCCAUUCCCUGUGCAUAGCCACAAUGCUACGACAUCUUCUCCAGGAACAUUUUUGAUAAGGAAGAAAAUAGCUUCCUGGUGUUGUUAGAAAUGCUUAAAAUCUUAUUUUGCCAUGUUGACACAUUGAUUCAAACAUGAACUGAAAUGCAGUCAUAUAGUAUGCCCUCCGUAUCCAUGGGGCUGGUAUCUUCAGUUUCACUUAGUCACAUCUGAAAAGAUAUAUUCUUUCUAGGCAUUUUCUAUGUUUUCCAGCAUGAUUCUAUCAUAUGUAUAUCCUAGAAGUUUACUAUAGAGUCAAAUGGAAGACCUAGAAAUGCUAGAGAUGCACUCUUCUCAAGUCAUACUCCAGAUCCUCUACUGUGAAUCCAUGGUAUGUUUCCAUCAGAAGUCAUUCAUUUUAGUAGGGUUCACUACAACCCACAGGUUGGUGUUUCCAUGGUAAGUCCAGGAAUGUAUCCCCUAUGGAUGUACUCUAGUUCAGAAAACUUAGUUAAUUAUGGCAUUGAAUGUCUUACAUUUUUUGUUGGAAACCUCCCUGAGUCCACCUGGGGAGAUAGGGCAGGAUAUAAAUAAAGUUUUAUUAUAUUAUGAUUAUGUGAGGGUCAUACUGUAAAUGAAAUAUUCAGGAAACUGAAAUUCAUAGAAAAUGUCCCAGAUUGGGAAUACAUUUCUGUACAUGUCACCAUCCUCUGAAUGUUGCAGGAAGGUGGGGAAAGAUCUUCUUGCAUGUGUGGAAUCCUAUCUGGCUCCAAUGUUUGUGCUAGGUUGCCAUGAUUUGACAGCUUUCUUAUUCCUACUAGCCUUUGACCUGGCUAUUGGAUUAUUACAUUACCAUUACCAGCUACAUUGCCACCAUCUUUUUAGGUGUGAGGACUUAAAAAAUAUUGUCCCUCAUCUCGAUUUUUUUUAAUGUUUCUUUUCUUCUUUGUUUAAAACAAUAACCACCUGUGAGUCAUGCUGUGUGUUUUUUAAAUGGAAAGCCAGCCUAUAACUGUUUCUAUAACCAAAUAAAUAAAUGCAUUUGUCACAUAGCUCUAGGGUGCUGAAGUAAUUAAGUAUAGUUCAGCUUCAUUUAAAAUAUUGCUGUGCGUUAUUUUAAUGGCUGAUAUUAGUUUCAUUUGUAACUAUAAACUUGUUUUAUAAAUGGGAAUUAAUUUUUAAAAAGGCCUAAAUUCUAUUGGUUAUUCCAAACUAGAGUACACCCUUUGAAUCAACUUCUGACUGAUGACUCACCACCUAAAUAAAUCCCAUUACUUCAGUAGCUCUGCUAUAGUAGAGCAAUAGGAUUCACCUCUUCAGCAUUGCAGGUGUUUCUCAUAUGCCUUUCGCUAUGUAGUUAUCUAUCAUUUAUCUAUCAUUUAUCACCACAGGCCUCCAGAACUUGUCCAGCCCUGA